UAUACCCAAAUCGCGGGAAGAGUGUUUCGAUCACUCAAUGUGGAGUUGCAUUGCAACCGGGUGCCGGACCCAUAGUACGGCAGAGGUUUUAGAUGGGCCUCGAACCCUACCAAGGUGGUUAGUGUGUCCAUUCCACACUGCCAAUUGGUACUGAAAAUGCUCAGCAUUCUCAGGGCGCUGAUCAACGCAUUGAUUUGAUCCGUUGUACUUUUGAGUACCGUAGAGUAAGGUUGUCGUCAGCAGGUACCUACGUAAAACACACCGGACGUUGUUAUCUGCCGCCGACGUCUUGUCGCCACCGAAUACUGCGUAUAUGCAACCGCGUUACUGUUUGCCAUUAUUGUUCUAUUUUUCGUUGUCUUCGGAAACGCUGCGGACUUACAAGUAAGUUGUAGUUUUUUAAAAGUCUAGAUUAAUAUUGAAUAGUAAAUUAAUUAUUCUAUUGAAAUGGGAAAAACUAAAUGUGGAGUGAGUGAUAGACAUUUUCGUCGACUUGUGGCAAGAAGAAAAAGUGCACAAUUGAAAUCGUGAAAAAAGCUAUUGUUCCAGUAAAUGAAAAUGUUCCUAGUUGUAGCAAAAAUGUAUCCGAAGAACUAAAUAUAAAUAUAUGUAAUGUGCAUAAUGUGAAAGAAUAUGUUUUACGGAAUAGAUAUACAGCAAUAGAGAAUUUUUUUGAAAAGUUUUUUUAAAAGUCUAGAUUAAUAUUGAAUAGUAAAUUAAUUAUUCUAUUGAAAUGGGAAAAACUAAAUGUGGAGUGAGUGAUGGACAUUUUCGUCGACUUGUGGCAAGAAGAAAAAGUGCACAAUUGAAAUCGUGAAAAAAGCUAUUGUUCCAGUAAAUGAAAAUGUUCCUAGUUGUAGCAAAAAUGUAUCCGAAGAACUAAAUAUAAAUAUAUGUAAUGUGCAUAAUGUGAAAGAAUAUGUUUUACGGAAUAGAUAUACAGCAAUAGAGAAUUUUUUUGAACUACCAGUUAGAAGUUUGGAAUGGGAAUUGGAUUAGUGCAUGAAGUCGCCACUAAUGUAGAAAAAAGUAAAAGAGUUAUUGUACAAGGCAAUGUGCUUGCCAUAUCAAGAUAAAAUGUUUUUUUUGCCAAUUCUUCAUCACUUCACACUUUAAUUAUCCUUUCAAUUGAAUAUGUAAAUUGAAACAUAUAAUAUAAAUAUUGUUACAAAAAGUAGUAUUAAGUUGUAUUUGUAUUGCUAUAUGCAUCCCUUAUUAUGAACAAUAGCUGUAGGUAUAUGGAAUAGCAUUUGUCUUGUUGUAGACAUCUGGCGCCGCGGCUGUCUGCUCGUCGAAACAAUAGACAUCUGGCGCCGCACUAUCUGCUUGUCGAAACAAUAGACAUCUGGCGCCGCAGCCGUCUGCUUGAACAAUUGCAGAGUCUGCUUGUCUGCAUUUGGCGCCGUAUAGCAUUAUGUUCUGGUAAUUUCCAGACGCAAUAUUCUAGAAGGACACGUCGGCAUCAGCGAGAAGUGCGUGGCUAUAUAAGCCGUGGCAGCGCCAACGUAAUCAAUCAGUGCUAAGAGUAAACUGCUAUAGUGUAGACGAGUUGUGAAAUAAAGAGUUGUUGAAUUAAAUUAAACAGUGUUGAUUUUAUUUGUCAAUCCAGAGAUACGAACCUAACAAAGUAAACUAGCAAGCAGUAAAUUCGUAACAAUAUAAUCGAUUUAGACUAAAUAUUCCAAAAUGUCAAAACGGAGCUACACGAUGAUAAAUGACGAAAAUUCUCCACCUUGUCAAUGUGGAAAUAAAAUGAAAAAAUUGGAAGAAGAGGUACAACAAAUGAAAAACUUAAUUUGUGAGCUACAUGUGAAGAUGGAUAAACUGUUAGAGAAAGCAUUUCCGAAAUCUACAAGCCUGGACAUAUUUUCAUAAAAAAAAGCGUUGAAGAAAUGGAACAUUUUGAGGAAAAUGCUGAAAUGUUUCCAAAAAAUGACGUAAUUUGUAGCAUUAAAGAAUGUAUAGGUUCAACACCUAUUACAAAAUCUCUGCAAUUUGUCUUCACAGAAGACACAGAAGAGUGCUUGUUAGAGUACAAUUGGGAUGGGCUGCAGAAGAAAAAAUCAUUAAAAAAAACCAACUUAUUUGGAAAAUUUGUGUUUGAUGCUCUGAAGUCCCCCCAAUACGGCUUCCCAAAUUACGAAAAUGAUAUUAAAAAAUCGAUACAAUUAAUAAAAAAUAAGGUGUAUAAAAAAACCUACGAUAAUAAAUCAAAAUAAUAUAUUGAUGAAUUAAAAGUCUUUCGUGUCAUUAUUAAACAGCUUAUUUUUAUUAAAACAACUAGCUGACCCGGCGAACUUCGCCCCGCCCAAUAUUUAUUUUUAUUUUUGGAAGUCAUAGACUCGUAUAAUUUUACCACAAAUAAUAUAAACUUCAAACAACGCAUUUUCAUUUAAUGUUUUUAAUGUUUGUAGCGCCAUCUACUGUAACAUACCGCACUUACUCAAUACCGCUGUUAGCGCCACCAACUGAUGGAUAGCUCUUUGCUAAUAAUAAACAAAUAAUUUGCAAUAAAUAAAUAAUGCGACUAUAAGGAAAGUUAUAAACUAUCCUAUCUUUCAAGUUGGACCAAACUGCACACAGUGUUAAAAAUUUCAUUAAAAUCGGUUCAGUAGUUUAGGAGGCCAUCGCAAACAAACA